rnacentral:rRNA from 1 species
CUACGGGUGCAGCAGUGGGGAAUAUUGCACAAUGGGCGAAAGCCUGAUGCAGCAACGCCGCGUGAGGGACGACGGCCUUCGGGUUGUAAACCUCUUUUAGCAGGGAAGAAGCGAAAGUGACGGUACCUGCAGAAAAAGCACCGGCUAACUACGUGCCAGCAGCCGCGGUAAUACGUAGGGUGCAAGCGUUGUCCGGAAUUAUUGGGCGUAAAGAGCUCGUAGGCGGUUUGUCGCGUCUGCUGUGAAAAUCCGAGGCUCAACCUCGGACCUGCAGUGGGUACGGGCAAACUAGAGUGCGGUAGGGGAGAUUGGAAUUCCUGGUGUAGCGGUGGAAUGCGCAGAUAUCAGGAGGAACACCAAUGGCGAAGGCAGAUCUCUGGGCCGUAACUGACGCUGAGGAGCGAAAGCGUGGGGAGCGAACAGGAUUAGAUACCCGAGUAGUC